rnacentral:rRNA from 1 species
CCUACGGGAGGCAGCAGUGGGGAAUAUUGGACAAUGGGGGCAACCCUGAUCCAGCAAUGCCGCGUGUGUGAUGAAGGCCCUAGGGUUGUAAAGCACUUUCACUGGUGAAGAUGAUGACGGUAGCCAGAGAAGAAGCCCCGGCUAACUUCGUGCCAGCAGCCGCGGUAAUACGAAGGGGGCGAGCGUUGUUCGGAAUUACUGGGCGUAAAGGGCGCGUAGGCGGUCUUUUAAGUUAGGCGUGAAAGCCCCGGGCUCAACCUGGGAACUGCGCUUAAUACUGAAAGACUAGAAAACGGAAGAGGGUAGUGGAAUUCCCAGUGUAGAGGUGAAAUUCGUAGAUAUUGGGAAGAACACCAGUGGCGAAAGCGGCUACCUGGUCCGAUUUUGACGCUGAGGCGCGAAAGCGUGGGGAGCAAACAGGAUUAGAUACCCUGGUAGUCCACGCCGUAAACGAUGUCUGCUAGAUGUCGGGGGGUUGCCCCUCGGUGUCUUAGCUAACGCGUUAAGUACCCCGCCUGGGGAGUACGCUCGCAAGGGUGAAACUCAAAUGAAUUGACGG